GCCGACCAAACGACCAACCACAAACAUACUAUACUAAAUAAACAAAUCAUUUGCCCAACCUAGUAGUUGCGAUCGAACAGUCACAAGUCAUAAUGAAGUACCGCAAGGGAACUACUAUAAGCAAUAAACAGCAAAGACUAACCCUUGUACCUUUUGCAUCAUGGUCUAGCAAGAACACAAGGACAAGAAGAAUCACAGCCCACCACCCCGAAACCGAAUGAGCUAUUUUCAAGCAGUCUAACGGACACACCCUUCUAUGUAGCAAAAUAGUGGGAAGACUUAAAAAUAGAGGUGAAACGCCUAUCGAAUCCGGAGAUAGCUGGCUACCCCAAACAGAAUCUAAGUUCUACUUUAGAUCAACACUUAAUCAAUCAACCAUCUAAAGACAGUCAACAGAGGUACAGCUCUGCUGACCCAGGAUACAACCUGAAUUUGCAAGAAACUACAACUCACAUCUAAACCAGUAGGCCCUCAAGCAGCCACCCUAAAAAAUAUCGUCAAAGAAUUGACCUAAACAAACCCAACACUGACCAAAACCUUCAAAUUAACUAAAGGUGGACUUACCCCAGUAAGCAUCAUUAUGCUAAAACUAAUAAUAAGACCCCCCCCCNAUCUCUUAACGCACCCUCCCGCUAGAAACAGAAAAACUACUAGUAACUAACAGACCACAAAAGGAAAACAAUAAACCCAUGCACACCUUCAAAUCAACUGUGAACCCAACACAGGAGCGUUAAAAAGAAAGAUUAACUAUUAUAAAAGGAACUCGGCAACCAAGGACUCCAACUGUUUAACAAAAACAUAACCUUUAGCCAAACAAGUAUUAAAGGCAACGCCUGCCCAGUGAAAAUUAAACGGCCGCGGUACCCUAACCGUGCAAAGGUAGCAUAAUCAUUUGUCUAUUAAUUGUAGACCUGUAUGAAAGGCAAAAUGAGAGCCCAACUGUCUCUUAUAAUAAAUCAAUUAAACUGAUCUUCUAGUACAAAAGCUAGAAUACCAACAUAAGACCAGAAGACCCUGUGAAGCUUUAACUAACCUAUUAAACCCAAUAAUAGUUACUUUCGGUUGGGGCGACCUUGGAAUAAAAAAGAACUUCCAACAAUAUGACUAAUCAUGAAACAAGGCGAACAAGCCAACACUAGACCCAGUACUACUGAUAAUUGAAAUAAGUUACUCCAGGGAUAACAGCGCCAUCUUCUUUAAGAGCCCAUAUCAAAAAGAAGGUUUACGACCUCGAUGUUGGAUCAGGGCAUCCCAGUAAUGCAACCGUUACUAAAGGUUCGUUUGUUCAACGAUUAACAGCCCUACGUGAUCUGAGUUCAGACCGGAGCAAUCCAGGUCAGUUUCUAUCUAUGAACGCCCUACCUAGUACGAAAGGACCGGUACAGCAAAGCCAAUGCAACAUGCACGCUUUAACUACAAAAUAUAUAACCUAUCAAUAAACAAACCACACCUUAAACCAAGAUAAGGUUAAUUAAGGACCACCGCACCUUA
rnacentral:rRNA from 1 species